UGUCAAAUAGAGAGUGGAGAGAUUUAAUAUUAAAAAUAAAUUUACCAAUUGAAACUCAAUAUGUCGACUGUGAAUAGAUCCAACCAAACACAGACAACCUAAGCAAUAUGACCUUUCAAUUUAAAACAUUAAACUGAAACCUCACCAAUAUUAAAUUUUAGGAACCUAACAAAAAUACCACUAGCGUUUAAAAGCUUCAACUUAACUCACAACCCAAAUAUACUCUCCAAUUUUAAUGUUUCCAUGAAAACACCUAACUUGUACUCCACUUUCUCUUUUAAAUUUUUGUAAAUAUUAAAAUUGGGAUAGCGUUUAAAAGCUUCAACUUAACUCACAACCCAAAUAUACUCUCCAAUUUUAAUGUUUCCAUGAAAACACCUAACUUGUACUCCACUUUCUCUUUUAAAUUUUUGUAAAUAUUAAAAUUGGGAUAGUUGAAAAGUAUACGCAUAAAAAUAUAACAUUAGGUUUAUUUGUG
rnacentral:lncRNA from 1 species